AAUCAACGCUGGCGGCGUGCCUAACACAUGCAAGUCGAACGCGAAAGCCUCGCAAGAGGCAAGUAGAGUGGCGCACGGGUGAGUAACACGUGGAUAACCUGCCUUCGAGUGGGGAAUAACCUUCCGAAAGGAGGGCUAAUACCGCAUAACACCUUUGGUCAAAAGACUGAAGGUUGAAAAGAGCAAUUUGCUCGAAGAGGGGUCCGCGCCUGAUUAGCUAGUUGGUGAGGUAACGGCNCACCAAGGCUUCGAUCAGUAGCCGUCCUGAGAGGGAGCACGGCCACACUGGAACUGAGACACGGUCCAGACACCUACGGGUGGCAGCAGUCGAGGAUUUUUCUCAAUGGGGGAAACCCUGAAGGAGCGACGCCGCGUGAGGGAUGAAGGUCUUCGGAUUGUAAACCUCUGUCAUCUGGGAACAAAGUGAUCUACCCCAACACGUGGAUUAUUGAUAGUACCGGAAG
rnacentral:rRNA from 1 species